GAUGAACGCUGGCGGCGUGCCUAAUACAUGCAAGUCGAGCGAACAGACGAGGAGCUUGCUCCUCUGACGUUAGCGGCGGACGGGUGAGUAACACGUGGAUAACCUACCUAUAAGACUGGGAUAACUUCGGGAAACCGGAGCUAAUACCGGAUAAUAUAUUGAACCGCAUGGUUCAAUAGUGAAAGACGGUUUUGCUGUCACUUAUAGAUGGAUCCGCGCCGCAUUAGCUAGUUGGUAAGGUAACGGCUUACCAAGGCGACGAUGCGUAGCCGACCUGAGAGGGUGGUCGGCCAAACUGGAACGGAGACACGGUCCAGACUCCUACGGGAGGCAGCAGUAGGGAAUCUUCCGCAAUGGGCGAAAGCCUGACGGAGCAACGCCGCGUGAGUGAUGAAGGUCUUCGGAUCGUAAAACUCUGUUAUUAGGGAAGAACAAAUGUGUAAGUAACUAUGCACGUCUUGACGGUACCUAAUCAGAAAGCCACGGCUAACUACGUG
rnacentral:rRNA from 1 species